AGUAGAAUAAGCUAAUUUAAGCUAUUGGGUUCAUACCCCAAACAUGAGAACUUCUCUUCUACU
rnacentral:tRNA from 1 species